GACGAACGCUGGCGGCGUGCCUAAUACAUGCAAGUUGAGCGCUGAAGGUUGGUACUUGUACCGACUGGAUGAGCAGCGAACGGGUGAGUAACGCGUGGGGAAUCUGCCUUUGAGCGGGGGACAACAUUUGGGAACGAAUGCUAAUACCGCAUAAAAACUUUAAACACAAGUUUUAAGUUUGAAAGAUGCAAUUGCAUCACUCAAAGAUGAUCCCGCGUUGUAUUAGCUAGUUGGUGAGGUAAAGGCUCACCAAGGCGAUGAUACAUAGCCGACCUGAGAGGGUGAUCGGCAACAUUGGAACUGAGACACGGCCCAACCUCCUACGGGGGGCGGCGGUAGGGAAUCUUCGGCAAUGGACGAAGUCUGACCGAGCAACGCCGCGUGAGUGAAGAAGGUUUUCGGAUCGUAAAACUCUGUUGGUAGAGAAGAACGUUGGUGAGAGUGGAAAGCUCAUCAAGUGACGGUAACUACCCAGAAAGGGACGGCUAACUACGUG
rnacentral:rRNA from 1 species